rnacentral:lncRNA from 9 species
UUUAAAUAUUAUUUUCCAUCAUGGUCUAUCCCGGGAGAUUCGAUAUAGUUCCCUGCGCUAUAAAGUAGGACCUUACUGUUUAUUCAUUCUAAAUGUAAUAGUUUGCAUCUAACUCCAAACUCCCUGUCCAUCUUACUCCCUCCCUCUUCACCCUUGGCAACCACAAAUCAGUAUAGAAUAAUUUUUCUGCUCUCAAAUAAUACAGUCCUUGUAUCACUUAGUAAUUAUUUUGAUUAUGAAUAUUGCAUGAAUUAAUUUCAAUGACAAACAAAUAGAUGUUUCUUGUUCUCAGAUAUCAAGAAGACCAGAUGUAAAUAUUUUCCGACGUGGAGUUAGCUGCCCAGGGAUGCCACUGGGGACUCAAAUUCUUUUCCCCUUUGUGUUUUUUUGUUUUGUUUUGUUUUGUUGCCACACCCAUGUCACGUGGAAGUUCCUGGACCAGGGAUUGAAUCUGAGAACAGCAAUAACCCGAGCUAUAGCAGUGACAAUGCUGAGACCUUAACAGACAGACCUUUAGGGAACUCCUCACCUUUGUGUUAUGCCCCCUAUACCAGAGCUCUUGUCUUGAUGCUUGUUUCUGGUGGUUACCAGGUGGCCAUUGCAUCUGUUCCCUCCUAUGCAAGACAAGAAGGGAGGGGCUGAACCAUCAGCAUCUGCCCCAUCAUGUCAGGAGAAGCAAACCUGCCCCAGAGGCUCCCAGGAGACUCUGACUUUCAUCCCGGUAGCCAGAACCACAUUGUAUCACCAUCUUGAACUUCUAAGAAGCUGGACAAGUCUUUAUGAAGGCUGA